GACGAACGCUGGCGGCGUGCCUAAUACAUGCAAGUAGAACGCACAGUUUAUACCGUAGCUUGCUACACCAUAGACUGUGAGUUGCGAACGGGUGAGUAACGCGUAGGUAACCUGCCUGAUAGCGGGGGAUAACUAUUGGAAACGAUAGCUAAUACCGCAUAAUAUUAAUUAUUGCAUGAUAAUUAAUUAAAAGGUGCAAUUGCACCACUACCAGAUGGACCUGCGUUGUAUUAGCUAGUAGGUGAGGUAACGGCUCACCUAGGCGACGAUACAUAGCCGACCUGAGAGGGUGAUCGGCCACACUGGGACUGAGACACGGCCCAGACUCCUACGGGAGGCAGCAGUAGGGAAUCUUCGGCAAUGGACGAAAGUCUGACCGAGCAACGCCGCGUGAGUGAAGAAGGUUUUCGGAUCGUAAAGCUCUGUUGUAAGAGAAGAACGGGUGUGAGAGUGGAAAGUUCACACUGUGACGGUAUCUUACCAGAAAGGGACGGCUAACUACGUG
rnacentral:rRNA from 1 species